rnacentral:rRNA from 1 species
UGCGCAGGCGGACUGAUAAGUCAGAGGUGAAAUAUGUCGGCUCAACCGGCAAACGGCCCCUGAAACUGUCAGUCUUGAGUCCGGGAGAGGUAGGUGGAAUUCCAGGUGUAGCGGUGAAAUGCGUAAAUAUCUGGAGGAACACCGGUGGCGAAGGCGGCCUACUGGCCCGGAACUGACGCUCAGGCACGAAAGCAUGGGGAGCGAACAGGAUUAGAUACCCUGGUAGUCC